AAAAAGAACAGAAGCAGGGCAGACGAUGAGGAGCACACAGGUGAACAGCACUCUUGACUUUCCUCUGACUUAGUUCCUGUCUCCAGCUUCCUGCCCGGACUUCCCUGGAUGGUACCUUCCCUGCAAGCUCCAAAAAGAAGUAAAUCCUUUCUUCCACAAGAUAGAGCUUUGGUCAUGGUGAUUUAUCACAGGAGUGCAGACCCUAGAUUCCAGACAGAGAUCAUUCCAGAAAACAACAAGCCUUCGAACUGCAGAGUUGCCGAGCCCAGGCACAAUGGAGAUCUCCAACACAGCUGCAUCUAAGGCUCAGGGAAUAUUUUGGAAGAGGGGUCAGAAGCAGUCUAAGAACUAGAGGAUCAAGGAAUGAGAUGCAAUGCUGUGUCUCCUAAGACUGCCAGAAGCAACCUGCAAAGUCUCAGCAACACGACUGCCCAAACAUGAGCUGGACAAGGAAGAGUAGACAUGCCAGAUAUGGGCAGAGGGAAAGCCCAUAGGGCCUCAACCUUAUCUCCAAAGAACAAGGGCAAACUAAGGAGGGCUGAGAGCUAGAGAGAUAGGCUUCCCCAGGAAGGAGCACAACAGUUGUUUAUCUCCUACCAGAGGCUAGUCCUGGAAACACGCAUCCAGGUCACACCAUGAAGCUUGAGCUGAUUAUAUGUAGAAAUCUAUAUGCAUGUACAUGAAUACAUUGGUAGAGGAAAUAACAAUUGAUGAAGAACGGGGUUAUUUGAAAGAGAGCAAGGAAGGGUAUAUGUGAGUCUUUGGGGUAGAAGAGGAACUAGAUAACAGAUGUAGUAAUAAUCACAAAAAAGAAAAGAAAUCUUUUAGUUGCCCUCUGAAUUUAGCAAGAUUCUGUAUGGCUGUUGGCUAUGUCCUGAGUUUUGGUUGACCCCUUUCCACAACCCCAUCACCCCAAGCACCAUCCCUCUGUAAGGCUUUCUAUGCCCGGUAUCCUAGAAAGUCCAUGUUCACAUCUCAUGCGUCUUACAGUCCCCCACCUCUGGACCUCCUCUGGAAGCUCCUUUCUCCCUCCAUGACUUCUACAGACACUGACUCCUAUUCAAACAUAGAAAGGUAGAACUAUGCAGCUGGUGCCCACAUGUGAGAGCACAUAGGUGGCUUCUGUGGCUGUUUGACCAAGAUAAGAAAAAGGAACAUAGGAGAGGAGCAGCCAUCCUCAUUGACAAAUAGUCCUGGGGAGAACUGGAUAUACACAUGCAGAAGGCUAAAACCAGACCCCUAACUUUAGACUGAAGAAAAUUGGUUCUAAAAGGAGGUAAGACCUGAAAUGCUGAGGGUCUCAGGAAAAUGCAGGGAUCAUUUCUCAAGAGAAGCAGAUAGACAAGAUUCUUGUUUUCUUCUGUAAGACCCCCUUUCGGGGACCCCCACUCUAGUCUCGGGAGUGAGAGAGCACCCAAAGAAACACGAGAAUCCAUUGCCGUAAUCACAUGAGGCAGUUUAAAGACUGAGCUCCGGACCGACAUGCAUCUCACACAGGAGAUAACGGAUGUCCAUCACAAGGCUUGAAAGCUAGGGGUUUUUAUGGGGUGAGGAGCUUAGGGGUGUGGAAUUCAGCAUAGCAACACACUAGACACACUAUUGGCUUAUUCAAACAUUAACAGAAAGAUUACAUGUCAGCAAAAGGGCAUCGGGACUUUGUUCCUGUGGGCUGGGGGUUUAUCUUGUUCACAUAGCAACCAGUUGAUGUAUGACUUUACCCGGCAUCAAGGAGCAGUAGACAGAGGGGAGGUUCCGGCCAGGUGGGGUUGACCCAGACAAGAUAGCCCUGCUUGUCCUUGUAUUUUUUCAUUUUUACAGUCAAGCUGUUCUUAGGAACGUCUUAACAACAGCCCUGUCUGUUCUGCUUUGUUCUCCGCCCCAGGCCGUGGGCUCAUAGACAACUCUUUAACAUGAAUCACACGUUACAAAAUCUCAUUUUCCUUCACUUCAAAGGUUCAACAACUCCGGAAAUGGUCUCCGUACUUGUCAGGUGGGGUCCUCAUGAAUUACCAACUUCCUUCACCAUAAACAGGAAUAAAUUGGCAGAGUGAAGAGACAAAAUCCAAAAGGGGUGAACAAAAAACCUUGUUACACAAGUCAUCAUACAGAAACUUAAUGAAAUAUAUAGAUAAUUCAGACAAGUACAGUAGAACCAAACGACUCAGACGUGAGUAAACAAAACACAUUUCUCCUGGGGCAUAAGAUAUGGAGUGCACAUAAACAGGAGGGAGACUGAUGAGGUGGAAUAGGUAGGGGGGGAGAGAAUUUGUGUGAGAGUCAAAGGGAGUACAUGAGGCCUGGAAAUGGGUAAGGUCUGCUUUGUAUUUGAAAGUGAAGUGCAUCAGACCCACUGACGUUAGCAACCUGUGUGGACUGCUUACAAGUGGGUGCAUCGGGCUGGAGACAUGGCUCAGAGGUUAAGAGCACUCUCUUCUAUGACAUUGGACCAGGUUCUGAUCCCAGUACCACGUGAGCACAGCUCACAACCAUCUAUAACUCCAGUUCCAAAGGAUCUGACUUCCUCUUCGGGCCGCCAAUGCCACAGGCACUCUUGAAAUGCACAUGCAUGCAUGCAGGCAGGCAGGCAAAGAGUUAUACACACAAAAAUAAAACUGAGUCCGUCA
rnacentral:lncRNA from 1 species